rnacentral:rRNA from 1 species
AGGACGAACGCUGGCGGCGCGCUUAACACAUGCAAGUCGAGCGAGAACCGGGCCUUCGGGCCCGGGGACAGCGGCGAACGGGUGAGUAACACGUGGGUAACCUGCCCUCGGCACCGGGAUAGCCCGGGGAAACCCGGAUUAAUACCGGAUGGCCUCCGGAGCCUGCGGGCGCCGGAGAAAAGGUGGCUUCGGCAUCUGGCCGAGGAGGGGCCUGCGGCGGAUUAGCUUGUUGGUGGGGUAACGGCUCACCAAGGCUACGAUCCGUAGCUGGUCUGAGAGGACGAUCAGCCACACUGGGACUGAGACACGGCCCAGACUCCUACGGGAGGCAGCAGUGGGGAAUCUUGCGCAAUGGGCGAAAGCCUGACGCAGCGACGCCGCGUGCGGGAAGAAGGCCUUCGGGUUGUAAACCGCUUUCAGGAGGGACGAAGCUACUCGGGUGAACAGCCCAGAGGGUGACGGUACCUUCAGAAGAAGCCCCGGCUAACUACGUGCCAGCAGCUGC